GCGAGUAAAGUGGCAGACGGGUGAGUAACACGUGAACAACCUACCUUUGAGUGGGGAAUAACACCGCGAAAGCGGUGCUAAAACCGCAUAACAUCUUCGGAUCGCAUGACCUGGAGAUCAAAGACGAAAGUCGCUCGAAGAGGGGUUCGCGCCUGAUUAGCUAGUUGGUGAGGUGACGGCCCACCAAGGCAACGAUCAGUAGCCGGCCUGAGAGGGCGUACGGCCACACUGGAACUGAGACACGGUCCAGACUCCUACGGGAGGCAGCAGUGGGGAAUUUUGCGCAAUGGGCGAAAGCCUAACGCAGCAACGCCGCGUGGAGGAUGAAGGCCUUCGGGUCGUAAACUCCUGUCAGUGGGGACGAAAGCCCAAAAGGUUUGACUGUACCCGCUGAGGAAGCCACGGCUAACUCCGUGCCAGCAGCCGCGGUAAUACGGAGGUGGCAAGCGUUGUUCGGAAUUACUGGGCGUAAAGGGCGCGUAGGCUGCUUAGCAAGUCAGAUGUGAAAGCCCCGGGCUUAACUCGGGAAUGGCAUCUGAAACUGCUUUGCUUGAGUCCUGGAGGGGGUAGUGGAAUUCCCAGUGUAGCGGUGAAAUGCGUAGAUAUUGGGAGGAACACCUGCGGCGAAGGCGGCUACCUGGACAGUGACUGACGCUGAGGCGCGAAAGCUAGGGGAGCGAACGGGAUUAGAUACCCCGGUAGUCCUAGCCGUAAACGAUGGGCACUUGGUGUUGGGGGUAUUGAGUCCUCCGGUGCCGGAGUUAACACGUUAAGUGCCCCGCCUGGGGAGUACGGUCGCAAGACUGAAACUCAAAGGAAUUGACGGGGGCCCGCACAAGCGGUGGAGCAUGUGGUUCAAUUCGACGCAACGCGAAGAACCUUACCGGGGCUCGAACAGUAACUGCAAUCCUUGGAAACAGGGAGUUCUCUUCGGAGACGGUUACCGAGGUGCUGCAUGGCUGUCGUCAGCUCGUGUCGUGAGAUGUUGGGUUAAGUCCCGCAACGAGCGCAACCCUUGCCCUUAGUUGCUAACAGGUUAAGCUGAGCACCCUAAGGGAACUGUCGGCGAAAAGCCGGAGGAAGGUGGGGAUGACGUCAAGUCCUCAUGGCCCUUACGUCCCGGGCUACACACGUGCUACAAUGGUCGGUACAAAGGGUUGCCAACCCGCGAGGGGGAGCUAAUCCCAAAAAAACCGAUCUCAGUCCGGAUUGCAGUCUGCAACUCGACUGCAUGAAGUCGGAAUCGCUAGUAAUCGCAGAUCAGCACGCUGCGGUGAAUACGUUCCCGGGCCUUGUACACACCGCCCGUCACAUCACGAAAGUGGGUUGUACUAGAAAUCGCUGGGCUGACCCGCAAGGGAGGUAGGCGCUUAAGGUAUGAUCCAUGAUUGGGGUGAAGUCGUAACAAGGUA
rnacentral:rRNA from 1 species